rnacentral:lncRNA from 1 species
UCUGUAUCUCUCUUAUUAGCUUUUAUAUAUCACUUCUCAGCUUUGUCAAUCUAAACUCAGCUUCGGAUUCAAACUCUGGUCUCUGCACUCUUUACCCAUGUAACCAACCGCCUCAACCGCCUUCUUCUACAGGCUACUCUCCAUAUGGUAAUCCUCCGCCGCCGCCUCCCUCUACAGGCUACUCUCCAUACGGUAAUCCCCCACCUCCUUCACCGCCACGUUCUCGCUGCCCUCCUGUUCCUCCGACAGGCUGUUGCAACCAACCACCACCCUCUACGUAUUAUUCUCC